rnacentral:lncRNA from 1 species
UGGCCCUGCCCACGCCUGGCAUCUGGCCUCGGCCUCCCAAACCUGGAGCUCAAAAGUGUCUUGUUUCCAGCCUCCCGGUUUGUGCUGUGUUAUGAGAGCGCUAGGAAACAAAGCGGCUGAACUGGCAACGGUCAUCUUACUUACGCUGCUGCCACUAAAAGUCACUGAGGAGGAAGUCACUUUGAACUGUUGACUCAGAAAUUCUAAAUUCUACAUAAGGUAAGAUCAAGGGAAAUGGUCUUCAGAUACAACAUCCUUGGCCAUGCCCAGCCAUGACUCAGAGGAGAGAGGCGCCAUUUCCUGUUUGGGGGCCAAUCAUCUAAGAAAUAGGACAAGCCAGGCCAAAGAACAGUUGAAGAAAUGGUGAUAAAAAUAAUUGAAGUUCUUGGUACAGAAGAACUCUGUUACCAAGGGGCAUGAGUCAGUAGCAAGCUGAAGUCAAAAAAAAAAAAAAAGAAGUUUGCCUUAGGAUAUUACUGGAUCCUUGCUUACCUCAGGAAAGUUCUUUUCAAAGUACAUCUUGUUUCUGUCAAAAUUUGAGCAACAAGAAAACACAGGAAAGAGAUCAUUGUUCAGGGCUUUCUGCUCGUGACAGCAUCAGCAAUUAUCACUUAGGAAGUUGGCAGGAGGGUGUUGGGACAUCACCCGUGGGAGGUGAGCCAUGGGCUCCGGGUCUGGUUCCACUUAUGGCUGGGUGAGAAACCUCACGAAAAUCACCUCCUCACUUUGCAGCACAGGGUCUUAUAGACCAUCUCCAUAGAUCAAGAAGGAAAGAUAAAGAUCCAUAGCAGGGAUUAUCCUGUAUGGAAAAUAGUGUUCGGUAUCUUUAGCAUCUUUCCCCAAAUCUCCACCAGCUGAAAGGAAUGGUGUUGCAGCUCACUUAAGAUGGCAAAGGAAAUUAAAUAGAGAAAACUAAGCAGGCCUCAUCCCAAAUGUCUUCAAGCUCAGUUCACGUUGGUGCAUGGUGAGAGCAGGGAGGGCGCCAAGAGACGGUGGAGAAGAGGACAGAAACCCACACGUGCUUAUGACGGCUGCUGUCACCAACCCGGGAGUUCAUACAGUAAGUCACUUGGUCCAUCUUUAGUUACAGGUCACUGUGGCACCAGUGCUGCUUUCUUAAAAUGUGUGGUUUUAGUCCAUUUGCAGAAUUUCCAACCCACCUGGGGAAACCGAGGCUCAGAAAGGGUGAAACCCCAAGCCCCAGGACCCGGGAAGGACCCAGGCCUGGAAUGCAGACUCCCACCCCUUUCGGGCCAUGGCACCACGCCGGGCACCUUCCGUGGGUGGCAUGUCUGGGUGUGGCGGGAGGAAUGCUGGCCCUGGUAUUCUAGAACGAGGAUGCAGACCCCCAAGCAGCCACAUACCAACACCGAGCCUCGGGCGGGAGCGCCAGUUCUGUGAGCUGAGCUUCCCUCUUUACGGAGACAGCGUAGACCCUCAACGUGUCUACGGUCAAUAAAGAUUCACGUUCUACUGCAUGUUUGGUUUUAGGCCUAUUUUUUAGCUUUAGGCACUGGAAUAGGCAAGAGGUCAAGUUGACCAAGACCCUUUCUUCAGAAAUUGCUCCCAAGGAAGGAGAGUGAAGUUCAGAGAUGAGGAAAUUGAGACAGAAAGAGGUCAAAAAUUAAGAUAGCCAUUCAGCCCCACCCCAAGUGUGC